rnacentral:rRNA from 1 species
AUUGAACGCUGGCGGCAUGCCUUACACAUGCAAGUCGAACGGCAGCGCGGGAGCAAUCCUGGCGGCGAGUGGCGAACGGGUGAGUAAUACAUCGGAACGUGCCCAAUCGUGGGGGAUAACGCAGCGAAAGCUGUGCUAAUACCGCAUACGAUCUACGGAUGAAAGCAGGGGAUCGCAAGACCUUGCGCGAAUGGAGCGGCCGAUGGCAGGUUAGGUAGUUGGUGAGGUAAAGGCUCACCAAGCCUUCGAUCUGUAGCUGGUCUGAGAGGACGACCAGCCACACUGGGACUGAGACACGGCCCAGACUCCUACGGGAGGCAGCAGUGGGGAAUUUUGGACAAUGGGCGAAAGCCUGAUCCAGCCAUGCCGCGUGCAGGAUGAAGGCCUUCGGGUUGUAAACUGCUUUUGUACGGAACGAAACGGUCUUUUCUAAUAAAGAAGGCUAAUGACGGUACCGUAAGAAUAAGCACCGGCUAACUACGUG